ACCAGGAGCGGUGGCGUGUGCCUGUAGUCCCAGCUACUCUGGAGGCUGAGGUGGGAGGAUCUCCUGAGCCCAGGAAUCGGGUGUCCACACUAAGUUUGGCAUCAAUAUGGUGACCUCCCGGGAGCAGGGGACCGCCAGGUUGCCUAAGGAGCGGUGAACCGGCCCAGGUCAGAAACAGAGCAGGUCAAAACUCCCAUGCUGAUCAGUAGUGGGAUCGCGCCUAUGACAGCCACUGCACUCCUGCCUGGGCAACAUAGCGAUAUCCUGUCACUG
ensembl:misc_RNA Metazoa_SRP Metazoan signal recognition particle RNA